rnacentral:rRNA from 1 species
ACGGGGGUUGCGAGCGUUGUCCGGAAUUACUAGGCGUAAAGGGCAGGCAGGCGGAUCUAUAAGUUUUUCGUUUAAGGCGUCAGCUUAACUGGCGUACGGCGGGAGAUACUGUAGAUCUGGAAUGCGGUUGGGGAAGACAGAAUUCCUGGUGUAGCGGUGGAAUGCGCAGAGAUCAGGAGGAAUACCGAAGGCGAAGGCAGUCUUCCAAGCCGUCAUUGACGCUCAACUGCGAAUGUGUGGGUAUCAAACAG